GGGCGACUAACUCAGCGGUAGAGUGCAUCCCUUACAAGGAUGAGGCCAUAGGUUCGAAUCCUAUGUCGCCCA
rnacentral:tRNA from 1 species